AGUGAACGCUGGCGGUAGGCCUAACACAUGCAAGUCGAACGGUAGCACAGGAGAGCUUGCUCUCUGGGUGGCGAGUGGCGGACGGGUGAGGAAUACAUCGGAAUCUACUCUGUCGUGGGGGAUAACGUAGGGAAACUUACGCUAAUACCGCAUACGACCUACGGGUGAAAGCAGGAGACCUUCGGGCCUUGCGCGAUUGAAUGAGCCGAUGUCGGAUUAGCUAGUUGGCGGGGUAAAGGCCCACCAAGGCGACGAUCCGUAGCUGGUCUGAGAGGAUGAUCAGCCACACUGGAACUGAGACACGGUCCAGACUCCUACGGGAGGCAGCAGUGGGGAAUAUUGGACAAUGGGCGCAAGCCUGAUCCAGCCAUACCGCGUGGGUGAAGAAGGCCUUCGGGUUGUAAAGCCCUUUUGUUGGGAAAGAAAUCCAGCUGGCUAAUACCCGGUUGGGAUGACGGUACCCAAAGAAUAAGCACCGGCUAACUUCGUGCCAGCAGCCGCCGCCG
rnacentral:rRNA from 1 species